GACGAACGCUGGCGGCGUGCUUAACACAUGCAAGUCGAACGGAGUGGCGAACGGGUGAGUAACACGUGGGUGAUCUGCCUUGCACUUCGGGAUAAGCUUGGGAAACUGGGUCUAAUACCGGAUAGUGCAAGAUGAGCUCGCGGCCUAUCAGCUUGUGGGUGGGGUAAUGGCCUACCAAGGCGUCGACGGGUAGCCGGCCUGAGAGGGUGUACGGGCACAUUGGGACUGAGAUAGGGCCCAGGGUCGAACGGGGGGCAGCGGGGGGGAAUAUUGCACAAUGGGCGGGAGCGUGAUGCAGCGACGCCGCGGGGGGGAGGAAGGCCUUCGGGUUGUAAACUCCUUUAGACAGGGACGCGGUACCUGUAUAAGAAGCACCGGCUAACUACGUGCCAGCAGCCGCGGUAAUAC
rnacentral:rRNA from 1 species